rfam:Capsicum annuum cultivar Zunla-1 chromosome 5, whole genome shotgun sequence
AUAUGCCUGGCUCCCUGUAUGCCAUUUGCAAAGCUCAUCGUAAUAUAUCGAUGGGCCUUGUUGAAUGGCGUAUGAGGAGCCAAGCAUAU